UACGUAGGGGGCAAGCGUUGUCCGGAAUCAUUGGGCGUAAAGCGCGUGUAGGCGGCCCGGUAAGUCCGCUGUGAAAGUCGGGGGCUCAACCCUCGGAAGCCGGUGGAUACUGUCGGGCUCGAGUACGGAAGAGGCGAGUGGAAUUCCUGGUGUAGCGGUGGAAUGCGCAGAUAUCAGGAGGAACACCGAUAGCGAAGGCAGCUCGCUGGGACGGUACUGACGCUAAGGCGCGAAAGCGUGGGGAGCGAACAGGA
rnacentral:rRNA from 1 species